rnacentral:lncRNA from 1 species
AGAAAAAAGAGCCUUGAGGACUUCUUCUCCUAAAUGCCCAUGUUAACGUGAUCUCUCCCACUUCUCGUCAUGCGUGUUUUAUGGCCAUGAAUUCACUUCUGAAUCCUAGUUGGGCCAGUGGUAUCCAAACCUGUCAGAACUGGUGCAUGUGCAUUAUUUAGGAAGCAUGUUUAAAUCAGGUUCCUGGGUUUUACUUUUGAAUAAUCUGAUUGAGAAGGUCUGCUAUGGGUACCAUGAAUCAGGACAUUUAUUAAACUCUGGUGACUCUAAGGCAACGAUCUGAUGGGUCAGCAUUUGAGGAAUACUGGCUUUUUCCUUUGGUUGCUCUGUAUUUUCAAAGAAUAUUUGCAUCAGUUUAACUCUACUUUUACAAGGAAAGUUUGGGGGUAGCAGUAAAAGUGCACUGGAUUACAUCUAGGAAGUAUUCCUGUUCAGUAGGCCCAGUGGGAUAGCUGGUUCCUACCUUUAUGCUUCAGUGGUAAAACAGGCUUGGGUGACACUGGGAAAAUUAAUACUGGACCCUCUGAGAUACACUAAAUAUGAGAUAGCAUGUUUUGUAGAAAUUCAGGCUUUAACCAAGGGAUCCUGGCUUAUUCCCAACUUGAGGCACAUUUGGCUUCUUAAUCUACACUCUUUCCUACCUGUCGUAUUUGGCUAUGGCGUUUGUUGAAGUAUUUCUCUUUAUUUCCUAUUACGUUACUGUUUGUUAUUAAACAAUGACCAUGUGCCCUGCUAGACAUGACUGUGUUUUAGUAGUGGGUGAUGUGAUUGCCUAUAUAUAUAACUGUGAAGGCACUUUAGCAUACUUCUGGAGAAAUGUGCCUGUAUAAAUGGAAGCCAUUAUCAUUGUGCUUAAAUUGAAAUGUCAAGUUUGAGUUUGAGACGGAACCUACUUCUGAUUGCAAAGGAAACAUUUCAUGUCAUCAACGAAUGAACUCACUCAAAUUAAACUCUGAUUUUGAAUUUGCUCUCAUAAAUAUCAAAAUGUCCAGCCAGGAGUGAAGGCAGGGAGGCAGGAACACAUAUGCAGAGAUGAGAACAUAGAAAAUGGAGUUGGAUUAAGUUGACUUACAAUGCCAGUGUGGUCAUACAAAGACCUCAGCCAGUCAGCUUAUUGUCUUCUCUAGAGAGGGUGAAACAAGUACCAAACUGGACUGCUCAGAACUCACAAGUAGGAAAUGCAAGAUCUACAUCUUUUUUUUUCGAAAGGAACACAUUUCAUUCUUGUCUUAGGUUAUUCAACAAAACACUUCCCCACAACUGCUGUUUGUACUUUCCUACUGGGUUAGUCCCCUGCAAGGAACACAAGCCUCUCCUUCACUACUCUUUCUUUUUCUUAUCAUUAAAGUAUAGCUGAUUUACAACAUUGUGCCAGUUUCUGCUGUACAGCAGAGUGACCCAAUCAUACAUGUAUAUACAUUCCUUUUCUUAUAUUAUCUUCCAUCAUGGUCUAUCCCAAGAGACUGGAUAGUUUCCUGUGCUGUACAGUAGGACCUCAUUGCUUUUCCAUUCUAGAUGUAAUGGUUUGCAUCUACUAACCCCAAACUCCCAGUCCAUCCCACUCCCUCCCCCUUGGCAACCACACCUGUUCUCUAUGUCUGUGAGUCUGUUUUGUAGAUAUGUUCAUUUGUGCCAUAUUUUAGAUUCUAUAUGAAGUCCUAUCAUAUGGUAUUUGUUGGAGAUAAUCUAAAUGUCCAUAGAUGAGUAGAUUAAGAAGAUGUAGUACAUAUACACAAUGGGAAUACUACUCAGCCAUAAGAAAGAACAAAAUAAUGCAUUUGCAGCAAUGUGGACACAACUAGAGAUUCUCAUACAAAAUGAAGUAAGUCACUAUUUUUUUCUUAUCCAGCCCUACCAUCCCCCUUGUUAUGUGAGGCAUAACCUCACCUCGGGGGACUUGCUGUCUCUUCUGCCUAAAAUCUCUUCCCUGAGGUAUGGUAGCUCAUUCUAGCUCCUCCUUCAAGUUCUGGACCAGUUGGUGCAGGGCUUUCCCCUGACUAUCCUACUUAAAAUGCACUCCCAUUGCUCAUUCCUGGCAUCUCCCAAAGACUUUUUCACUUACUUGAUCUUCAAAGUAUAUUUAUCACUAUUAAACAUAGUAUAAACAUCACCUACUUGUUGAUUUAUUGUGAGUUUCCUCCCUGAAGCUUAAGAACAGGGAAUUUGGGCCUGUACUCAUUCACUCCCGUAUGUUCAGUAUCUAGAACCAUUCCCAAUAGUAGUCACUCAAUAAACUUGCUAAAUGAAUGAAUGAAUGAAUUCAUGACUGUUGAAUAAACAUAUGUGCUAAACUAAAUUUCAUGCAAAGAAAUUGGUAGGGACUUAUCAUAAAUGAGAGAAAAGUAGCUGCUGAAUUGACCUUAACUUUAAUUGAAUUUAAAUGUUGACUUAAAGAUUCUUAUAUUCAGAAGGUCCGCCUUUAUUGUCUUCCUGUAAAGUCCUAGGAAAAAGCUCCUUUUAGAGUCAGAUACUUCCAAUAAUUUGACCUCAAGGCAUCUCACUUGGGUCUUCUACAUGUCUGAUUCUGAAAUUACCCUGGUUAAAAAAAAAAAAAAUACUAGCUAAGAAAUGCUAUGUAUUCCCCAAAAAGUUUAAUAAGUACCCACUUUUUGUCAGGUUUUGGGACAGUCUAUAAGAAUACAGUGGAAUCCAGGAAUGCACAUAAAGUCCCUGCUAUUAUGAGUUUAACUUUUAGUUGAGUAAGAUUGGACAAUUAAACAAGCAAUAAAAUGAGAAGAGAAUAUUCCAGGAUACACUAUGCAUGCAUGCAAUGAAGAAGGUAGAAGGUAGACAUGCUUCUUAUAGUAAAACUGGAGUGAGGAUUAAGUGCUGAACAGGCUAAGGAAAGGAAAGAGAAUCUAGUCAAAAUAAGAGCAUGCAGGAUGGUGACUGUUAUAUAUUCAAGGGCCUGAGAGAAGACUAGAAUUGUGAAAGCUUUUAGCCGGAAGACAACAUGGCAAGAAAAGUAGCUGCAGAGGGAUGUCCAGACCUUUAGAAUUAUGUCAAAGCGUUUGGAUUUUUAUCCCAACUGUAAUAUAAAGCUGUAGUAAUCCUUAAUGCAUUCAUAAAUAUUCUGCCUCUCUUUUCUUCAGCAUUGGGAAGACUGUACUUCACCCACUCUGAAGUUAGGGAUGCCCAUGGAAUUGCUCUAGUCAAUUCGUUGUGAGUGGAAGUGCCAUACUUUGCAUCCAUGCAGAAGUCUUACUUACAAAUCAGUACUUACAAUCUUCCUAAAGCCACAUUGAGCCAAUGAUCAUGGAAGUUCCAUCACCUUUGAGCACAGGUGACUAUAGAGCACCCCUGCUGAUCCACAUUAGACAUGCCGUAUGCAUGGAAAAUAAUAUUUCACUUGGUGAAGCCACUGACAUUUGGGUAUUGGUCUAUUCUUACAAAAUAAUCUGGACUCUGGGGAAUGAGAGAAGAGCAUAUGCAUGACAUAAUGAAAUGGGUUUUUGAAAGAUGACUUUGGUUGGAGUGAGGAAAUUGGGAUGGAUUACGAAAAACCAAAGGCCUAGAGACCAGUUUGGAGGCUGCUAUAGUAAUUUAAGGGAGAGAAGUGACAGGGAUCACACAUAUUUUACAAAUAUCAGAUAAAAGAAUGAUGGCUAGGAGCAGGAUCUCAGGUAUCCAUAGUGGGAAGAGAAAAAAAAAUGGGCAGAUUCAAACUAUAUUUGGGCAAGAGAAUUUGUUGACUGAUAAGAUACAAGAAUGCAAAAGAAGAAGGAAGGCAUUAAUGAGAUUCUCAAGUUUCUGGAUUGAAGAAAGACAUGAACUCAAGGGAUAACAGAACACUGAAGAGAGAAUAUAGAAUUUGGAACUAUGAGAGGUAAUCAGUUUGGUUUUAGAUCUGUUGGGUUUAAGAUGCCUGUGCAGAAUCCAUAUCUAGGUAUAGGGAGAUGAUCGUUUAAAAUUGGAGCUCAAGAGAGGGAGACCUAAGCCCAGGAUAUUUAGAUUUGUGAAGCAUUAUGAUAGAGAUAAUAAGUCCUUGUAGAUGAGAUCAUUCUGAGGGCAUGUAUUCUCUGACAAAAUGCAGUUGGGCAUAUCAGAGAAUAGCUUUGUUUAGUUAGUAAAAAAGAAAAAAUGCAUGUGAUGGAAAGCUGCAUGAUGUAAUCUUGAAAACAAAGGGGAUAAAAAAUUUACCCAAAGCAGAUUUUACUCCAAAAAAAUCACCCUGAAGUGGGGAGUCAAGAGCAAUACCUACACCUUGAUUGAUUUGCAAUUCUUUUACCAGUAACUAGACCAGUUAUAAGAGAAAAUAUAUAUUCACUCCCCAGGGAUUAAAAAAAAAAUGAAUGAUCUACUACUUUUAAGCUCUGUGGUUUAUUCAAAAAAACACAUUUUUUAUUUUAUUCUGUCAUUUGAAUCAAUAGCUGGGAAAUAAAGCCUAGAAUUUUAACCAGAGAUAAAUGAUUAUUCCCAUUUAAUUAUUUUGAAGUGACCUUAAGUGAUAAGCUUAUCUAUAUUGCAAAGCUCAUAUACAAAUCACUUGACAAGCUCAGUCCACAAAAUGAGCUUAGUUAUGAUGUUGCUGUUAUCACAAGUUUAUUCGUUCUUUCAGAAUCAUUUUGUAUGUGGGUGCCUAGCAGAAGCACAGCAAAAUAAUCUAUUUGAUUUUGUCAUCUGUUGCAGAAUAAAUUACACUCAUGUGGUGCUCAGGUAUCCUCUCUUUUAAAAGUUAAUGGUCAGUUGUCAUGACAUAAAAUUGAUAUGCAUUUGUCAUAUCAAAGGUUAUGAUAUCACAUAAAUAUUUAUCUCAAAAAGUGGGAAUUUAAAAAUUCUGGAGUUCCCAUCGUGGUGCAGCAAAAACGAAUCCGACUAGGAACCAUGAGGUCGAGGGUUCAAUCCUUGACCUCGCUCAGUGGGUUAAGGAUCCGGCAUUGCAGUGAGCUGUGGUAUAGGCCACAGAAGAGGCUUGGAUCUGGUAUUGCUGUGGCAUAGGCUGGCAGCUGUAGCUCCGAUUGGACCCCUAGCCUGAGAACUU